CCGCCUGCGCUCCCUGCUCUGUACCGUGGAUGGAGAAGAGAACGCUCUGUUCUCUCUCUCUGCGCCUGUUUGUAAACCUGCGUCAAAAGCACGUGAUCCUGUUGACGCCAUUCUGCGCGACGUCCAAUCAGAAAACGGGGGUGUGUUGGGUGGGCGUGGUUUGUUUGUGUUGCUGUGAAAAUGUCGAUGAACAGGAGUUUUCAUGAAUGCGAGGGACCACUCUGGGUUUGAUCCUAACUGGGAGGUUGAUGGGAGGUAAUGGCAGCGGUGACGGACUAGUAAUGCGUAGUAAAGAGAGCGGAAGUGUUGCGGAAGAGGCGCUGUCGGAGGACUAGUGCUUUGGAAAAAAAAUGGCCCGACAUCUCCUGACGUCAGAACCCCAAACCGACUGCAGUCGGCUCACCGAUUGAUUUGCUGACUGCUUCAGAGGCACAAGGGAAAGCAGGUAUUACUUUUGAACUUCAUGUGAAAGGUAAGAGCCAGUACACUUCACAGCAAACACAGCCAGCAGCAUCAAGGAUGAAUGGCACAACGCUGCACUGUUUAUAUUAAUUAUUGUCAUAGCUGAAUAACAGUUGGCCAGUUGCACAAAAUUAUAAAAGCCUACAAUUGCACAGCAUCAAAGUGUCACAUUAUAUCUGUACAAAGGUAAUUUUUCUCUGACUUUGUCUAACACUGUGAUGCCAGAAACCGCUGAGCUAAGGGGAAACAUUUGAAUUCACUGUGUUGUAUGUUUGACAUGUCUCGAAAUAAUGUCUGGGAUUUCCUCAUGACCUGCCGAGGACAAGGCUCUUCUUGUUCAUCAUACAGGGAAUGAUGCUGGAACACGUGCUGACAUCCUCAGAGAGAGCCUGUCUGCAUUCUUCAGUGGUAACCAGCUCCAUCCGUCUGAUUUCCACUCCAAACGAAGAAUCAUCUGAUCAAGUGGCCGGAGAGUGACGCACCGUCAUCCCCACUGUUCCACCGAGAAACAGAGAGAAGAGGACUCAUGGAGAUCUGUGUGUGCAGAGCUGCAGGGCAGGGCACGAGCAUGAGCCGAAUCCAUCCCAGAGUGCAUCACACUUGAGGUCUCUGAUUGACAGUCUCCCAAGAUGCUGUCAGGAUUCCCUGGAACCUACUCUUGGUCCUGUGAAAAACAAGAUUCGAGGUUGUUUUACGCCACAGAAGGAUGCUUUUUGGCAGAUGAGCCCCCCUUGGAAGCUGGCUUCAGAUGGUGGCUUAGAAUAUUGUCAUCUAUCUAGCACCAUUUGAAAUCAGUGUUCUUGGGGUGGGAAGUGGAUUUCACUGGCCAGCAACAGGCAGCUGUGAAGUGUCGCCAGAGGGAUAAAGGUAUCACCCCCUGAAGCACUACUCUACAGUGACGUUCUGACAGCUCAAGCUCUUUGUCCUCUCUCCAAGGUUGACUGAUUACUUUUGGUGUUCAGAGUAUGCUUUUGUUUCUAGCACCAUUUGAAAUCGGUUACAGUGAAGAACACAUGUCAUCUUACCUUGAGGAGGAUUUUGCAAGUAAGCUGUGCUCUUUAUUUUACAGACUGUGGAUUGACUGUAGUGAAAUUACAAAUUACUGUGUUUAAUUAUAAAUUAAACAAAAUGACACUCCC